rnacentral:snRNA from 1 species
AUCGCUUCUCGGCCUUUUGGCUAAGAUCAAGUGUAGUAUCUGUUCUUAUCAGUUUUACUGAUACUCCCUUCUCUGUGUAUUCAUGAUUUAGGUAAAGUAUUAAGAACGGUGUUUUAGAACUUGCACAACAGCAAAAAACCAAAUAGCC